rnacentral:snRNA from 1 species
GUACUCGAUUCGGUGGUACAUAUACUAAAAUUGGAACGAUACAGAGAAGAUUAGCGUGGCCCCUGUGCAUAUUUAUUUAAAAAAGAUUUUAAAUUGGG